UACGGAGGGGGCCAGCGUUGUUCGGAAUCAUUGGGCGUAAAGGGCGCGUAGGCGGCCGAGCAAGUCGGAUGUGAAAUACCCCGGCUCAACUGGGGAAUUGCAUCCGAAACUGCUUGGCUUGAGUCCUGGAGAGGGUAGUGGAAUUCCCAGUGUAGCGGUGAAAUGCGUAGAUACUGGGAGGAACACCGGUGGCGAAGGCGGCUACCUGGACAGGUACUGACGCUGAUGCGCGAAAGCUAGGGGAGCAAAC
rnacentral:rRNA from 1 species